GUCUGAUUCAUAUAUAUAAAAAAAAGUUUGCAGGCAAAAUACUUUUUGAUAGUAAAUUAAUCAAUUACCAGCAUGUCAGAGGAGUCUAGAAUGUAAUACAUAGUUUGAUAUGAAGGAUAUAUGUUUGAUCAUAUUACACUAACACAACGUGUUGUUCAGAUGUUGCUACAAAAUAGGAUAUGUAUAAUAAUUGUAAAUAAGAUAACAAUCUAUGCAUACCAACAGAAAAGGAAAUGAGCAAAAUGUAUGUACAUGUAUUUGUAAUUGUGAUCCCUGUUUAUGUUGGUUUAAUUAGGUCGUUUAUGAAUUAAUUUAACCUUGAAAGCAUGCAAUUGCGAUAUAUGCAGAAUUUGGAAAGAAACAGGUAACGUUGGAUUUGCUUAAUAAAAGAUUCAUGACAGUUAUAAACAUUAAUGAUUUUAACAAAACACAUGUGACAAUAGGGUCAAAACAAAAAUGCCUUUAGG
rnacentral:lncRNA from 1 species